UACGGAGGGGGCUAGCGUUAUUCGGAAUUACUGGGCGUAAAGCGUGCGCAGGCGGUUUUGCAAGCCAGAUGUGAAAUCCCCGGGCUCAACCUGGGAAUGGCAUUUGGGACUGCAAGGCUGGAGUGUGGCAGAGGAGACUGGAAUUCCUGGUGUAGCAGUGAAAUGCGUAGAUAUCAGGAGGAAUACCGAUGGCGAAGGCAGGUCUCUGGGCUGACACUGACGCUCAUGCACGAAAGCGUGGGGAGCAAACAGG
rnacentral:rRNA from 1 species